rnacentral:misc_RNA from 1 species
AAAUGCGAUAAGUAAUGUGAAUUGCAGAAUUCAGUGAAUCAUCGAAUCUUUGAACGCACAUUGCGCCCUUUGGCAUUCCGAAGGGCAUGCCUGUUCGAGCGUCAUUACACCACUCAAGCCUGGCUUGGUAUUGGGCGACGGGGCCGUGACACGCCCCGCGCCCCGAUGACUCCGGCGGGACCGACCGUACCUCAGCGUUGUGGCGACGAGCCGCUGGCGGGACGGGACGGCCGCGCCGUUAAACCCCCCCAUCCAUCAGGUUGACCUCGGAUCAGGUAGGGAUACCCGCUGAACUUAAGC